rnacentral:rRNA from 1 species
UACAGAGGUCUCAAGCGUUGUCCGGAAUCAUUGGGCGUAAAGCGCGCGUAGGCGGCCCGGUAAGUCCGCUGUGAAAGUCAAAGGCUCAACCUUUGAAUGUCAGCGGAUACUGCCGGGCUAGAGUCCGGAAGAGGCGAGUGGAAUUCCUGGUGUAGCGGUGGAAUGCGCAGAUAUCAGGAGGAACACCGAUGGCGAAGGCAGGUCUCUGGGCAUUAACUGACGCUGAGGAGCGAAAGCAUGGGGAGCGAACAGG